GCCUGGGCUCGUGGCAGCCUUGGCCGCUAGCUCGGGCAUCAGGCACCCUUCCUCGGCCAUGGCGCACUUCUGAGAUAUAUUGCGCUGCCCAGGUGCCCAAAAACAAGUGCAGAAACUUCGGAGCUCGAAACAUCCACCUUAGAGGAUGAAUUUGAGGGUCAAGGAGCCGUUAAUUUUAGAGGAUGCGCCUCGUCGAGAGCUUUCCGAAAAGUCCUGGAACGUCCAAAUCCGACUUCGUAUGCAAAAGAUACGCCCGUUUUAGUGAACACGGGUCAAACCCACCCGAAACUCUAAUUCUACUUGGACUCGGGUCCGAAACUGACCCGAACUCUUUCUCUUUUUUUUCGUUUUUUUUUCUCUCGUUCCUUUUUUUUUUCUUUCCUUAAGCUCUGAUACCACGUGAUAGCCUCGAGGGUAUCCCGAUCUUUCGAUGAGAUACCUAAUUAUUGAUUUGGUAGGAGGUGACGUUGACGAUCCGACUACAACCUAGGAGGCAGCGCCUUAGCGAUCGAUACACCAACUCCAGAAGGUUAUUGAUCCCGCGGGGGCACGAUCAACCUUACCACGAAGGUCUUUGGUCCUGCAAACAAUCGAAGAACAAGCAAGAACAAGAUGAAAAGCAAUCUAAAAUUGCGAAUAGGAGAUAUGACGGUUCACGAAUCUGAAUAUUCAGUAUAGUUGGAGUCUUAAUGACGGUAAAACAGGUGGCUAACCGACACACGCGAUUACACGAAAGAAGGAAAGGCUAAACUUUAUCUAAUCAAAACCCAAAGCUCCAUAGGGGGGCUCAUGGGGUAUAAAUAGGAGGGGAACUAGGUGGUUUUCGGUUAGGUCCUUGAGGGACUCCGAAACGGCCUAGGAAUCCUCCUAAAACACAAGGAAAACAUCUAAAAAUUGGCU
rnacentral:lncRNA from 1 species